UACGGAGGGUGCGAGCGUUAAUCGGAAUUACUGGGCGUAAAGCGUGCGUAGGUGGUUUGAUAAGUUAUCUGUGAAAUCCCCGGGCUCAACCUGGGAAGGUCAGAUAAGACUGUUAGACUCGAGUAUGGGAGAGGGUAGUGGAAUUUCCGGUGUAGCGGUGAAAUGCGUAGAGAUCGGAAGGAACACCAGUGGCGAAGGCGGCUACCUGGCCUAAUACUGACACUGAGGCACGAAAGCGUGGGGAGCAAACAGG
rnacentral:rRNA from 1 species